UUUUGCACUUUCUUCUUGCUUGCUAAUUGAGGUCCUGUGCACUCACCGUUCGUUUGGAACCACGUGACGGGCCGUUAAUUAAGCUCUUCAGCUGCACACGAAUGAACCGCCCCCAAAUUUGCAGCAAAGCCGUGACCUGCAGAGCUAACACGGCAGGUUUUUGGAGGCCGAAUGCCUUCGCCUUAGGGAUGGAUGCUUUCCAACCCGCUGCAGUUGGCGCUGCACAUCGCUGUGCUCCCAGCGCCCAUCCUCCCCCGCGUGCUUUUAGGUGUUUCCCAGCCAGCCGCGCAGAUCCUGCGAUAACGCGGCUGUUGAUAAUUCGGGCUGACCCAGAGUGCUUUCCGUUAACUUUUUCAGAAGAUGAAGUACUCGUGACGCAGGCACAGGAAAAGAAGGAAAACCCCACAGUGCUGCCUCUCUGCAGCACUCCCAGCAGCCUUUCUCGUGCUUCCCUGACCCAGAGCUCGAGGUAAGCUCCACGUGCUCGCACAGUACCCUCCUAAUGCAGAGGAACUCUCCCUCAAUCCCACUGCCUCGGGGUCACUCCUGGGGGCGUUGUGCAUGUAGUGGCUCUUUAUGACCUCCUGGAUCACUCUCAGGUGCAGUGUGGAUCCAUGCG
rnacentral:lncRNA from 1 species